rnacentral:lncRNA from 1 species
CAAUUUGAUCAACCAAACGUCGUUUCCAAAUUUCGUUUCCGAUUUCGCCAUUUUAUUAAUUCAUUAACUUAUAUUGAUAUAAAAUGACUUAAUGGGUAUCUUAAUGCCAUUAGAAAUCAUUCUAACACCCCAUUAUAGUUAUCGGGAUAAUUCUAGAAUCGAUCAUAUCGGGUUACGGCAACUUAGUCGGGUGCGACCAAAAGCCCCACCUAACACGGGUAUCGGGUAGAAUUUCGUCGUGUCCAAUUCCCGAGCACUAUAUAAAUGAUUCAAAACUUACAUUUGAAGCUUUUGGCCAUUUCUUCCAUAAACACUUCCAACCUCUCUCCUCAUCCAAAAUCAAAGGUCCAAAUCUCAAGUUUAAGGCUUCAAAUCUUUGAGGUAACUUCCCUAGCAUGCUAUACAACCUCUUUAGCCUUCAAAUUUGAGUAUAAUCUAUGUUUUAGGACCUAGAACAUGUGUUCACGGCCAAGGAUCAAGCUUGGGCCGUAAACACCUAAUAAUGAGGGUUUUUGAGCCAUUUAACCCUUCAAAAUCAUAGUUGGGACUUAGAUAAGACCUUAAGGCUUGCAAAUUGAGACUUAAAACAAUUAAACCAUGAAUUAUAUGGGACAAAAGAGAGUUUACGGCCAAGGCUCCUUCUUGGGCCGUAAACUCCUCUAAAAUGGGGAUUAAGAGCCUUUAAACAUUUCCAAAUGCCUUGUAACUUAACCAAUAGUUUUGUGGUAAAUCCUAGAUCCAUCUAAUAAUAGUUUAGGGGUUUGAAACACAUCAAAAAUGUCACAUAUAGGAGUUUACGGCCUAGGAACAUACCCCUUUGGCCGUAAACUCAUAUAACUAUGUCAAAUGAUGCAUUUAAUCCAUCCCAAAGGCUUGCUUAAAUAUCUAAAAUCACAUGUGAUUGUUUUAAGUAUCAAAAACUAAUUUUUCAUGAGUAUGGGAGAGUUUACGGCCAUAGAACAUGCUUCUAGGCCGUAAACUCCUAAAAAUGUGUUGAAUGGUAACCUAAAUUCAUAACAAGGCUUGGAAAAAUUCCUAGAAUUUCAUAUGAGUGUUUUAAGCAUCAAAAAUCAAUUAUUCUUAACCAUAUUAGAGUUUACGGCCAGAGAGUAUGUAUCUGGGCCGUAAACUCAUAUUAAGGUGUUAUUUGAAGCCUAAAAAUGAUACCAAGCCUUAGUAAAUUAGUUAGAAUCACAUGUGAUUGCUCCUUGUGCCUUAAACAAAUUUUUCUUUGCCAUAGGUGAGUUUACGGCCGUAAACUCUAAGUUUACAGCCUUAAACUCCCUUUUAAAUGGUAUAAGUUCAUUCAAACCAUUCCAAGGCAUUUUAGAAAUCCAUUCCAACAAUCCUCAUGUCCAAUCAAGCCAUUAAACACCCAAAUUCACAUCAACAUGAGUUUACGGCCGUAAACUCAUGUAUGGGUGUGGUUUGUGGUUGUAAACUCAUUUAAAUGUUUACUCUUGGGGAGGAAACUCAAGUCCCAAGUCCCUAGUGCCAAUACACGUCCGUAGAUGUCACCCGGGUCACUCCAAACGCUCGUUUUGAGGUGUUUGACCUCGUUGGAGUGUAAUGUCCCAUAUAAUUAGUGAUUGUAAAUCUAAUUAGUUAUAUAUGGACAUUAUUACAUUUUACAUAGGGACAUCAUGAGUAAUCAAGCCCCGAACCAACGUCUAGUACCCAAAACCGACACAUUUCCGAGUCCGGUGAGUUCAUACCCCUACCCUUUUCACUGUUUUUUUACUGUUUUCAGGGGGGAACACAAGCAAAGUACAAGAGUCUUUCUUGUACUCAAAACUUAUUUUUCUGUGUGUGUUUCACAUUUCAUAUGCUUUUAAUACUGAUAUACGCAACUGAUAAUUGGUAGAACAUACAGAUCACAUAAACACUUAUUUGUGAAAUUGGUUUAUAAACUGUUAUGCUUUAUAUAUUUCACAAAUGAUAUUUCGUAUUUUAUCAGUUAAAAGCAUUACAAUAUAAUAAUUGAACAUAUGAUUUGUAUAGUGUUUGUCCUCGUUGACACUCCACAGAGAUACGCGAGUGGAGGAUCAUCUUAUUAUUACUAGUAAAAUUGUUAUUCCUGUAUGAUUGGAGAGACGUCCUCGGCAAACACUCCACAUAGAUACGUGAGUGGAGGACUACACCCAUAACCAGAAUCUCUGGGAUUUAGAGAGCGUGAAUUGAGUGUAUAGAUCUAUACGGGGCUGACUACCCCACACCUGGCUGCUAGCUACAACUGAACCGAAAUGGUUCAAGGGUGACAAAAGUCAUAAGUAUGUGGACUACUUAUUGCCACAGGUUUAGUCCAUUGUAUGGUUAUGGAACUCGCAACUAGGAUAACAGAGAUUUAGUUAUAGUAAUAAUGAACCACUUAUUACAUUUUACAGAUAACCAGGUUUCUGUUUUACAUCUUUUACAUCUUUUACAUCUUUUACAUCUUUUACUUAAGGUAACCAACAUUUAGGAAAGUAUGGGACUUUCCUGGGGAAAAACAAUGAACACAACUACGUAUACAUCUUUUACAGUGAUAAACAACAUUCAGGAGGGUAUGGGACUUUCCUGGGAAACCAUGUACAUAACUAGGUCUAACAGAAUACAUCUUUCACAACUAAAACCAACAUACAGGAAAGCAUGGGGCAUUCCUGGGUAACAUAUACACAACCAGAAAAGUGUAAUAAAAUGAAUAACAUUACAUCUCUUACUAUAACUAACAUUCAGGAAGUAUGGGACUNNNNNNNNNNNNNNNNNNNNNNNNNNNNNAUACACUGGUACAUAAACGGAAUAGAACAACGAAUUGGAUAACCAAACUAUACUUUACUUUUGUGAAACAACAACCAACUUUUAAGAAAAUGUGGGAUUUUCUUGGAGUGUGUUACAUUUUCAGAAACAGAAAGGAAACAUAAACAUUUGCACAAAGCAAAACUACUUAUGAACCCACCAGCGUUAUGCUGAUUUUCAAAACCACUUGUGUUCUCAGGUCGACGUUAGAACAGGUACCGAAGAUCCAUUUUGCUUGAAGUUGGAAUGCUCAGAAGACCCGUUUCAUUUUGUUCAUAUAUAUAUACUAUGUAUCACAACUGUACAACUUUAAUUUUGAAAACAAUUGUAAAACUUUUAUAUGUAAUGUAAUGGUUGUUCUACUUUACUUACUAUGUACAUUGGAUUUGAUACUCAACGUGGAGUCAACCCCGGAAAUGUUUCCGCCUUCGGUUUUCGGGGUGUGACAGAUUGGUAUCAGAGCCCUUGUUUAUAGUGAAUAAAGUAUACCAAACCUUACAUGGUAUAAAACUAUAAACACUAAAGGGCCUNNNNNNNNNNNNNNNNNNNNNNNNNNNNNNNNNNNNNNNNNNNNNNNNNNNNNNNNNNNNNNNNNNNNNNNNNNNNNNNNNNNNNNACUACAAGUAUUUUCAAAAAUAUACAAGUAUACCGAACCGUCGAGAUUCGUAUCUAUAAGUAGAACAAAACAUAAGUAAAUGGGUGUUGUGUAUUGCGGUUAAACCUGGGCAGUUAUGUAGUCGUGUCUAGGGUCAAUAUAGCCUGGCCAACUAUAUUCAUUCGAGACACGGCCAACAUGUGCUUGGGAGUGACUGUGGUAUGCGGCAUGCCUAAAACUUACCUUAAUACCACAAACAUCGAACCAAUGUCAUACCGAAUCAUGAAAUACAAUGGGAGUAUUUCUAGAACCAAUCCUUUGUAGAAAUCCUCGUGCAUGCAUUGAUCCUUAAUUGUUCCGUUAGCGAUAAAUUAUCUGCUUUGAUAACUCCUUUCCGCUUUAUCGCUUAUCGCUUACUCGGAAUAUUUGUAUAUCUGUGAUAUCUCUCGAUUCGAUUCAGAGGACUUACCAUCCUCUCUUCCUUGAUAUUAUUAGAUCAAGAUGCCUCCCAGAAGAAGAUCCAACUCCAACAACCCUCCGCCACCUCCUCCUGAAAUCGAUCCCGUGUUAUUUCAAACAGCUGUUACCGCCGCGGUGGCAGCUGCCAUGUCCCAGCUAAACACCGGUGGUUCAGGAGGCAGUAAUCAGAAUCAAGACAGUAACCAGGAACGCCGUAAGGAGGGUUCCUACAAGGACUUCAUGAAUGCGAAGCCUUCUUUCUUCAAUGGCACUGGUGGUGUCAUUUCCUUAUCCCGAUGGUUCGAGAGAAUCGAAUCCAUCUUCAAAAUCUGUGCCUGUGCUGAGUCCGAUAAGGUCAAGUUCGCAGCUUGUAUCUUCCUUGAUAAAGCAUUGACUUGGUGGAAUGGCCGAUUCAAAUCCUUGACCCUCCCCGUAGCCAAUGCCAUGGGCUGGGAAGCUAUAAAAGAACUCCUCCUUGCUGAAUAUUGUCCCCGAGGUGAAAUGCAGAAGCUAGAGCACGAGCUCUGGAACCUUAAGAUGAAAGGUUCCGACAUUGCUGCAUACACUUCCCGAUUUGAUGAUCUUGCCCUACUUUGCCCUGGUCUAGUCACCCCUGAAAGCAAAAAGAUCAAGAGGUUUAUUUGGGGGCUAACCAAUCCGACAAAGGGUCAUGUCUUAGUAGCUCGCCCGGAUACUUAUGAUAGUGCUAAGACUUUAUCAAAAGCCAUAAUUCACCAUAGUGAUGAUGUUGAGGAAGCCACCACUUCCCCUAAGUCGACUAAAAGCAGUGGUGAGAAAAGAAAAUUCUGGAAGAAGAAGAAGGGUCAAUCUUCCCAAGGCUCCUCCAAAAGACAACAAACAGUAGCAGUCAAUGCUGCUACUACUCCCGUUGCUGCUGCUUCUGUAGUGGGAUCCAUAGCUCCAACUCCUACCAAUCGAUAUGUUGGUAAUCUCCCUCUCUGUGAUAAGUGCAAGUAUCACCACAACCCCGGCCCCUGUCGAGAACUUUCCUGUACAAAUUGUGGUAACAAGGGGCACACGGUCCGAUUCUGCAAAGCUCCGACCCAAUCAGCAAAUCAAUCUUCGGGAGCAGGCGUUGGUCAAGCCUGCAACAACUAUGGUGAAGCUGGGCACUUUAAAAGGAACUGCCCCAAAAAGUCUACUGCUAAUAACACCGGAAGGGUCCUCGCCAUGGGACGGGAGGAAGCGGUCGCUGAUCCCACUGUUGUCUCGGGUACCUUCCUUCUCGACAACUCGUAUGCUAACAUUCUUUUCGAUUCGGGUGCUGAAAGAAGUUUUAUUAGUCAUGCAUUCAAACAUAACCUAAAACAUGAUUCCCAACCUCUAACCGAAACGUUUACCGUCGAGAUGGCGAACGGUGAGAAAGAAAGCGCGAGUGAGGGAUUCGUAGAUUGCACUCUUACCCUGAAUGACCAUUCGUUUCCUAUCGAUCUUAUGUCGGUAUCCAUAAAGAGCUUUGAUGUCAUCAUUGGCAUGGAUUGGUUGAGUCCCAAUCAUGCAGAUAUCCUUUGUUUCGAAAAAGCCAUCCAUCUCAACCUUCCUUCGGGUCAAACCCUAGCGAUCUAUGGCGAUAAACUCUGUUCCAGCCUUCGUAUCAUUUCCUGCAUCAAAGCUCAAAAACUCCUGCGAAACGAGUGUAUUGCAUUCUUGGCCCAUGUAAUCAACGAGAAACAGGAAGUUAAAGACCUUGUGAGCAUCCCCAAAGUCUAUAACUUUCCUGAUGUGUUUCCCGAAGAGCUUCCAGGAAUCCCUCCCAAGCGUCAGGUCGAGUUCCGUAUUGACCUAAUUCCUAGAGCUACUCCCGUAGCGAAGUCUCCGUAUCGCUUAGCUCCAGCAGAAAUGCACGAGUUAUCCAGUCAACUGAACGAGUUGCUAAGCAAAGGAUUCAUUAGACCGAGCACCUCACCCUGGGGAGCUCCAAUUUUUUUUGUCAAAAAGAAAGAUGGAUCCUUUCGUAUGUGUAUCGAUUAUCGCGAGUUGAACAAGUUGACUGUCAAAAACUGUGACAACCCGAAAUUUACAUUUUAAUCAAACCAUUUCAAUCCAAUAGAAGUAGAGCAGUUACAGUGAAAAUUCAGACUUAUGGUAUAAGUUUGGCAGUUUUCAGGGUUUUACACCUAAAGAGAUAUUAGGAGAGUGGAUGCACUAGGAUUUUGUGCAACACUGUAAUUCCAUUACUCUAGGUCAUUAGAAUCCAUUCCGAGAAUAGAAAUAUUUUCUGCCAAAAAUCUCAGGACUAUAAAUAGAAUUCUGAACCAAAUUGGUUCAUUAGUUGAAUUCCAAUUAGAGAAAAGCCAAUUUCUCUCUCACGGAUCUUCGGGUUUUCAUCCCAGAUUGUGAGUCCACUUUCCUAGAUGUGUUUUAAUACUUGUUAUAUGCUUAAUAACAUUAUUUACAUGUCCAAAAUACAAGAUCCGGGAGUUUACCGCCCAAGAACGUUCUUGGGGAGUAAACUCCAAAAUCAAGCCUAAAGGCCCUCUAGUCCCAUUUCCGUGUUAGGCAACCAGUUAAGGACUUUAUGUAUGUGAAUUAGAGGCUAGAAACAAAUCAAGACCAUUUAGAAAUCAUUUCUAUAAAGGAGUUUACGGCCAAGAAGCUCCUUAGGCUGUAAACUCCAAGUUUAAGUGCCAAGAUCCUUUCAAACACUUCCUAAGGCUUGGACUCUAUUUUAGGCAAAUACCUUAAUGUGUUUAGGACCUAGGAAACAUAAGAAAAGCACAAGUAUUGAAGAGUUUACGGCCAAGAGUGGUUCUUGGGCCGUAAACUCCCAUAAAGGGGUGAAAGGACACCCUAGACACUUCCUUAGGCCAUGAGACAAUUAGGGCAUGUACCUAGAUGAGUUUUGGACUAACUAAAACAUUUAGAACCCCAUGUGUGAGGGAGUUUACAGCCAAAAAGGUUCCAAGGCCGUAAACUCCAGAAAAUGGUAUCAUUUAGUGCCAUAAACCUUCCUAAAGCCAAGUAUUAAAGCCUAGGAUUGUUCCUAGUUGUUAUAGAGACUUGAAAGAACCAUAAGAACCCUCCCAAGGGAGUUUACGGCCGUAAACUCCAAGGGAAAAGGGUCUUUGGGCCGUAAACUCCCCAAAGGAGUCAAUAUGGUGCCCAAACACUUGCAUAGGCCUUGAAACAAUUCCCACUAAGGUUGUAGUAAUUCAAUGUACCAUUCCAAGCCUUGGUUGAGAGUUUACGGCCAGGAGCUUACUCCCCUGGGCCGUAAACUCCAAUGAAUAUGGUCUUUUGACCUUAAACUCCCAUUAGGGGCAUUGCACUCCUUUGUUGCAACCCUUUAGCCUCCUAGCACUUGACCAAAAGUGUUAUCCUCGCGCUUAAAUGUUAUUACUUGUAUAAUUAGUGUUAUAAUCACUAAUUAUUUAUAUACAUAUGUUUUCAUAUGUAAUUAGGAUCAUUGUGUGUGUCUAAGUCUUCACUUGACACCAAGCACUUGUCCGAUCCUUCCGUACGAUAACAGCCCGUUCAAUUCCAGUCACUUACUGCAGGUGAGUUCAUACCCCUUAACUAAUGUUUUAAACUAUUUUAAAUGUUUUAUGGGGGGGAUACAAGUAGAAUCAUGCUACUUAUUAUGUCAAUCACAUGUGAUUAGUAAGUAGGAGUAUAUUACUUAUUACAUCAAUCACAUGUGAUUAAUAUACAACAUUCAAAAGAUUUGGCUACUCAUUAGCCGUUUUACCAAACAGUUUCCUUCAAAUGAUUUUUAUAAACAUUUUAUAUGUUUCAAACUACUUAUUACACUGUACCUCUUACUCUGUUUAUCAUAUUUCAAACUUAUUUACAACUGUGUUUCAAACAAAUGUUCCUUGUACUUAUAUUGUUUUAUCAAACUUAUGCCUUCAAAUUGUUUUAUAGAUUGACAUCAAGUCGAUCUUUCCUUAAACUAAUAUUUAUGUUUCAAAUGUUUUACCAAACUUAUUUAUGCUUUUAUAUUAUAAAUUGCAUGCCUCUAUAUGUAUAGUUAUAUAAGAAAUGUUUAAAAGACUUAGGAAGGCUAUCCACCCUAUUUCCUUUUCGCGCCUUGAGAUGUGGUCUGGUGGGAUAUCGGAUACUCGUCCGAAGGUCGUUUAAAUAUUAGUUAUAUAUCAUGUGUACAUAUAAAGUCAUAAAAGGUCCUUCCAGUUCAUCUUAUGCCCUUGGGUAGCAAGGGUAUACAUCCACGUCCAUACGUACCACUUAGAUUACUAGUAAGCUACCAUAUGGGUAGUUCAGGAAGAUACUAGAACCAUUAGUAAAACGCGAUAUCAUACAAUGAUUCAGUUCAUUCAUGAGUCAAUACUUUCUAGAACAUUACUGUACAUUACAUAUACAACUAUACAAGGACGAGAACAUAUACAACUAUACUAGAACGUUUACAUUACUAUCCUUGCUAGAUAGAAAGAACACACAUUGCAGCCAGCACACAUAGAACAUUACAGUUCAUUACAUUAUUAUACUUGCUAGAACAGUUCAUUACAUUACUAUACUUGCUAGAACAGUACAUUACAUUACAGCUAGAACAGUACAUUACAUUACAUAUACGAGAAUACGUUAAUUACUGUGAUUUAAAUCGGAGCAUGACUUAAAACCUCAUGACUUGAGUUGCGGCCAGAGUCUCUUGAAGGGGGAGCGUUGAGUUUGCGUAUAGAUCUAUGCUGGAUUGACAAUCCUACACCUUGCUGCUAGCUACAGCCGGACCUGCAGGUCUGCGGGUGCCAAACGUCAUUCCGUUAUUACGACCAUUCGUAUGUCGUUGUUACAGUCGAUAGUAUGGAGCAAUUUAUCACAGAAUGCCAUAGCCUAAAAUCCGGUUUAAGGUAGUUACUACGGUAGUAGUCCUUUUAGAGCUACGUUGUAGUACUACGUUAAUUUUUCCAUUACAUAUUUUUAGUGAUAACCUCACUUAAACAUAAAUGUACAGACUAUAUUUUUGGAAAAUACAUACUCUUACAAGAGACACACACACACAGAACAGAUAGGUCUUGGUAGAAGACACCUUCACAUACUUGGAGGAAUCAUAGGGAUUCUAGUGUUUUUCAAACACUUACAAAUACUUACAAUUCAUAUACACUUACAAAUUCUUACAAUACAUAGACUUACAAAUUCUUACAUACAAAUUAAGACACUAAAUACUUAUGAUCUCUCCAGCUUUAAAGCUGAUACUCGCUUUCAAAAUUACUUGUAUCCUCAGGUCAUCAUAGACAGGUACCGAUGCAAGGAGAAAGGAAGAUGGAGCUUAUUCAAGACUUAUCUUUCAUUUUGAUUUAUGCUUUAGUGUUUAUCAAAAUUUGACAGAAUACAAUUGUAUAAUAAUUAUUUUAUUAAUGCAAUGGAUGAUGUUGUUGCUUGUUUACUACUUUACAUUGUUGUUGAUAUUAUACAUGACGUCCUCCGCCCCAGAACGUUUCCGCCGUUCUUGGUUUUGGGGUGUGACAGAUUGGUAUCAGAGCAUUGUUUAUAGUGAAUUAAGUAUAUCAACCCAUAAAAGAUAUACUAACUAUAAAUACAUAAGGGAUUAAAAAUACUCUGACCAAGAGUUUAUACUUUAAAUAGUAAAAUAUUUAAGUAAGUAUACGUGCUGCAUUCAUACUAAAAUCAGUGUCACUAGGACAGUACAAAAGAAUUACGAUUGUUGGGCAACACAAGUGGGCUUAGAGACAUAUGGUCAAAACUGGGAAGAUAUAGCCUGAUCACCUAUAUUAUCCGAGGGUUGACUAGCAUGUGCCUAAGUUUAAGUGUGUGGUUGCAACAAUGCUAAAAUCUUACCAACCCUACCACAAUGAGAACAAUAGAACAUAACAUUAAAAUUAAAAUACUAUAGGAGUAUUUGGUGUUACUAUAAGUACUUUAUACUUGAGAAUUAAAACGGGAUCUUCAUUACUAAGUUGAUAGUUGCUAAGUGGAUACACUAAGGCUAUAUGUAAUUAGGAUGUUAUAGACUUAGAAUCUGUGAAAAUUUUACUUCACCCCUAUUCUGUGUGAAUACGGAGUUAAGGUCACUUAUUCGAAGGUCUAUCCUGUUUAGAUUACACAUAGCUGGUAUGCACUUCACAAAUAAUGAUGUAACUAAUGAGGGUUUUCUAAAUAAUUAUCUAGAUAGUUCAUCUAAUAAUUAUCCUGUUACCCUAAAUUCUCGCAUAGAAAUCCUAACUGGACUCCAUCCCCUUAACAACCAGUAUCUUCCUAAAGAAGUCGUAGUUGGUCGGGUUGGAGAAGAACCAGUUAAUGAUCAUCCUAUCCCCUUGGAUGAUCACCGUGGUGAAGACUUUUCGUAUGAUGCUAACUCCGAACCAGAGGUUGAGAACCUACCCCAAGCAGCUCCUUUCCAAUUCCUAACCCUCGUCCGACUUUUCAUGGCCCGACCCUGAGUGAGUGGAAUGCUUGGAAACAGGGAGCCAAGGACAAGAUCAGUUUAUGCUAUUUGAUGGCAACCGAAGCCUUUACGACUUGAGCAAUGGGGGCUCAGCAGAUAGAGUCAGGACAGCCCUACAUCAGAUUACGGAAGUAGUCGCCUAUGCUAGAAUGCAUACCCUCCGCACCAUUCAUCUAGAAGAUGCUCACGAGAGAUCAGAGAGAAACCAUGAAACCCUGCUGCAAGCACUGGCUGAAUCACGAGCCGAAGUCUUAGAGCUCCAAGUACGCCAGAUGGUGUGCGAAAGACACCUACUUGACGUGGAACGUCAAUUGGUUGAACUAAGAGUUCACCAGAGGGAUGACCGUCGCCGUAGUAGACGCUUUACUUUAUUUUCCCUUAUAAAAGGAAAUCAUGGUUUUCUGUCUAUGCCCGAUGUGGCAUUUUCUAUGAAAUUAUCUUGUUCCGUAAGUACUUUAGUUAGGUCUUUAUGUUGUCAGGAACUAUCUUCUGUGGAUAUGAUGUAAGACCUUUACAAGGUCAUUUUCCUGAACCUUUACAUCGUGAAUAUUAAAGAUAUUGAUAGCCGGCUAACUUUUGUGUCAUUCUUCAUUCAAUUACUUUUAUUUUACUUUCAUUGGAGUCUAUCUGAAUCAUACUUUAGUCAAGUCACUGGACUAUAGUAAUUUAGCUCCGGGAACAUUUCCAUGUCUCUAUCAGUGGUUGGAUCUUGUUAUUCACCAACCCACGAUACCUCAGCUCGAACGACAAACGUCUUGAGACCAUUCUACGAACAUACUACCAUACCGUACUAGGACUGCAUCAUAGGGAUGUAGGUCAAACCUUAGCGAACAUACAUUCAUUCUUUACCAGGACUGCAUCAUAGGGAUGUAGGUCAAACUUUCGAGAUCAUACACUUACUCUUUACAUGAACAAUCUAAGUACAUCAGGGUCAACCAGAAUCGCUCACAAAAUCCUUAUCUUUCGUGUUACAGAAUCACGUCAUCAUCCGGAAGCAAUCAGUUGAACAAGGAAACCUUCGCUUUUACUAUGGACGCCGCUACCUUUCAUACAGCAGUUACAGCUGCCGUAGUGGCUGUCGUAACCGCGGUCAUUUCGCACUGUAGCGCUAUCAGCACAAUCAAUAUUGCUGAUGGGAGUGAAGUUUCCAAUCGUGGUAUCCAUCCAGGAGGUUGUCAAACAGUAACAGUCACAGGCUCACAAAGCCGAAAAGCAGAGAACAAGAAACGAAAGCGUCAAGCCCGAAAGGAACGCAAGAGAGCCCAAAAGCUGGCUAUACCACAACAGCAAGUGGAAACCCCUGCCGUUCCCAUACCGCGCAGGUCAUAUGAGGGAAAACUCCCUAAGUGUGAGAAGUGUAGUUCCCAUCAUCAUGGGACUUGCCAUGAGAUGCAAUGUUGCAAUUGCCUGAAUAUAGGGCAUCAUGCUCGUGACUGUGGAGCACCGAAACGACCUGUCACUCAAGUCCCUUUCAUCGAGACUAACCCUGCGCACAAGUUGAGUUAUAGCGCAGAACGAUUUAAGAAGCAAUUUUCGAGGUGGAGUAACGAGGAAGGCACUCGUGUCCACAUAACACUAGCUAAGCACCGCAAUCCCGUCACCAAAGCUAGUACUAGCCAGUCAUGCCACCAAUGUGGUGAGACAGGGCACUUCAAGAGAGAUUGCCCGAUAGCAAAGAACUCUGGCGUAGAUGGGAGGAUUCUCAGGAUCACAGCUGCAGGAGAGCCUGCUCAGGAACCACGUUAAUGUAAUUAAGGCGUUUCGUUGUAACAGACUUAUAAACUAUCUAGAACCGGUGCAACUAGAGUCUUACCUUUUGCGAGAUCCUGUCUGUAUAGGAAUUCUCAUGCUGCGUAUACUUGUCUUUUGUAGUAUAUCUUAUUCGCAGCAAUAGUCUUGUGGUAAAUCUAAAGUACUGUAACUCUUGUUCAUGGUUGCACGGUUGUGUUUAGUCUGUAAACGUCUUAUAUUCGAAUCUAAUGUCUUUAAGUUUCAGUAUGAUUCCGACAUUAUCAUACGACUCGAUUUAAUUUGAUCCUCGCAAAAACAGCUUCAUACGUACAUCUCUUUCUUCUAGAUCACUUUUCCAGCGAAGCCGUCAUGUCAGAACGCCGAAGUACUCAUGCCAAGAGUACCUCUUAGUUAUUUUCUUUCCAAAGAAAUCCCCGAAGUACUCAUGCCAGGAGUACCUAUUAGUUAUUUUCUUUCCGAAGAAAUCCCCGAAGUACUCAUGCAAGGAGUACCUUUUAGUUAUUCUCUUUCCAAAGAAAUCCCCGAAGUACUCAUGCCAGGAGUACCUAUUAGUUAUUUUCUUUCCGAAGAAAUCCCCGAAGUACUCAUGCCAGGAGUACCUUUUAGUUAUUUUCUUUCCGAAGAAAUCCCCGAAGUACCACUCGUGCAGUACGUCAAGUCCAAUCCAAGGAUUCAUGCGAUUGAUCUAUCACUGAGGAAGGUAUACGUAAGAGUUAUAUAUAAUCAAGCUUCUACAGGUUUAGAAUUGAUGAUUCCACUUUAACUUCUUUUUCCCCGAUGGGAUGUGAGCUUAAAGAAGAAUCAGUUAUUCGACUACCUUUUCACUCUUAAUUAUAUACGACUCGUAUACUCGAAGAUGUGAUUGUGAAUCCAUGUAUGAAUUCUAAAAUGGACUUCAGGACGGAGAACUGCCUAAGUAUACGAGUAAUCACAUCGUCAUGUGAACAAACUUAGAACCCAAUAUGACUCCCGAAAACAGAUCGCCCUAUAGUUUAAACACCCACGGAGAUACCAGAACAGUACAAACAACUUAGCGAACUCCACAGAAAUAGAAUUAGAAGACUAGGUUUCUCACCCUAGAGAACCCAGGUCAGAUUCUUCCAGAGAUCGAUGGAUCGCAUCGUAUGUGCCUCGGAUAUCGAGGACUCUGUCAAGAUUUUCAUAGAAAUCGUUAUCUCUGCCUCGCAUAGACAAAAUAGUUGAGCAAAGGUAAGGAAAGAAACUACUUCCAGGAAUGGAUCUAAAAUCUGAAUAUCACCAGUUCGAGUGUUAGGGAAGGAUGUCCGGAAGACUAGCUCCUGAACUCAAUACGGACACUUCGAGUUCGUAGUGAUACCUUUCGGAUAGGACCAAUACGCCCAUAGUUUUCAUGAGCUAAAUGAAUAGGGUUACGUCUUUCUUACUUGGAUCAGUCAUCAUUUCUCCAUGAAAUGACUUACUUAUCUACCCUCGUAGUAAGAAGAAAGCCCAUCGUAACAUUCCUACAGAGGAACUUCUAGCAAAGUUCUCUAUGCACGAGAUUUGGAAAUUGAAGAGUCAAAUUUCUAGGACACACUGUUAGUAAUGUGGGAAAUUUUGAGUACUCUUUCAAUUUGCCAAAACCAUUGAGCAUUCAUCGAUACCAGAGACGCCGAUAGUUUUCACCAAAUUCUAAGUCUUACCGACCUGCCGCUUUAGUUCAUUCAGAAACUCAUACGACUUUGACCCAGCAAGGGGUGGCCUGUGACUGGGAAGUUACACAAGAAAAGGAACCUUUGAAAUUCCAAGUGAGUGACCAAGUUCUUUAAGAUAACUCACUUUGGGAAAGGCUUAAUACGCUUCGUAAAGCGUGGAAAGCUAAAUCCAAUAUAGUUAGGACCUCCGAGAUUCUUAUCAGAAUCGGUCCUGUGCCUCACACAAACUAGACCUACUCCGCGAACUCAGUAGCAUACAUUCUACCCUUCGCAUCUCGAUCGUGAAACCAUACCUUUCCGUUAGGACUCUUGCAAGUCCACUCGUCGAGAUCCUCACCUUCAUACUAGAACCGUAGUGACCCUCGACCGAGAGGUCAAGCGGACGAAACAACGCCGUCGCUAGUUAGUGAAGGUUCGUUGGAAUGCCAACCGAGAGCCCGAUUUCACUUAAGUACGCUAGAACCAAUCGAUUAGGAAGUUUCCUCCUCACGACUCGAUCAUUCGUGCAUACUUCCUUGCCUAAAUUCUAAUUUCGGGACGAAAUUCCCUUUAACAGGGGGAUGAUGUGACAACCCGAAAUUUCCAUUCUAAUCAAACCAUUUCAAUCCAAUAGAAGUAGAGCAGUUACAGUGAAAAUUCAGACUUAUGGUAUAAGUUUGGCAGUUUUCAGGGUUUUACACCUAAGGAGUUAUUAGGAGAGUGGAUGCACUAGGAUUUUGUGCAACACUGUAAUUCCAUUACUCUAGGUCAUUAGAAUCCAUUCCGAGAAUAGAAAUAUUUUCUGCCAAAAAUCUCAGGACUAUAAAUAGAAUUCUGAACCAAAUUGGGUCAUUAGUUGAAUUCCAAUUAGAGAAAAGCCAAUUGCUCUCUCACGGAUCUUCGGGUUUUCAUCCCAGAUUGUGAGUCUACUUUCCUAGAUGUGUUUUAAUACUUUUUAUAUGCUUAAUAACAUUAUUUACAUGUCCAAAAAACAAGAUCCUGGAGUUUACCGCCCAAGAACGUUCUUGGGGAGUAAACUCCAAAAUUAAGCCUAAAGGCCCUCUAGUCCCAUUUCCGUGUUAGGCAACUAGUUAAGGAGUUCACGUAUGAGCAUUAGAGGAUAGAAACAAAUCAAGACCAUUUAGAAAUCAUUUCUAGAAAGGAGUUUACGGCCAAGAAGCUCCUUAGGCCGUAAACUCCAAGUUUAAGUGUCAAGAUCCUUUCAAACACUUCCUAAGGCUUGGACUCUAUUUUAGGCAAAUACCUUAAUGUGUUUAGGACCUAGGAAACAUAAGAAAAGCACAAGUAUUAUAGAUUUUACGGCCAAGAGUGGUUCUUGGGCCGUAAACUUCCAUAAAGGGGUCAAAGGACACCCUAGACACUUCCUUAGGCCAUGAGACAAUUAGGGCAUGUACCUUGAUGAGUUUUGGACUAACUAAAACAUUUACAACCCCAUGUGUGAGGGAGUUUACGGCCCAAAAGGUUCCAAGGCCGUAAACUCCAUAAAAUGGUAUCAUUUAGUGCCAUAAACCUUCCUAAAGCCAAGUAUUAAAGCCUAGAAUUGUUCCAAGUUGUUAUAGAGACUUGAAAGAACCAUAAGAACCCUCCCAAGGGAGUUUACGGCCGUAAACUCCAAGGGAAAAGGGUCUUUGGGCCGUAAACUCCCCAAAGGAGUCAAUAUGGUGCCCAAACACUUGCAUAGGCCUUGAAACAAUUCCCACUAAGGUUGUAGUAAUUCAAUGUACCAUUCCAAGCCUUGGUUGAGAGUUUACGGCCAGGAGCUUACUCCCCUGGGCCGUAAACUCCAAUGAAUAUGGUCUUUUGACCUUAAACUCCCAUUAGGGGCAUUGCACUCCUUUGUUGCAACCCAUUAGCCUCCUAGCACUUGACCAAAAGUGUUGUCCUCGCGUUAAAUGUUUAUACUUGUAUAAUUAGUGAUUAAAUCUCUAAUUAUUUAUAUACAUAUGUCUUCAUAUGUAAUUAGGAUCAUUGUGUGUGUCUAAGUCUUCACUUGACACCAAGCACUUGUCCGAUCCUUCCGUACGAUAACAGCCCGUUCAAUUCCAGUCACUUACUGCAGGUGAGUUCAUACCCCUUAACUAAUGUUUUAAACUAUUUUAAAUGUUUUAUGGGGGGGAAACAAGUAGAAUCAUGCUACUUAUUAUGUCAAUCACAUGUGAUUAGUAAGUAGGAUUAUAUUACUUAUUACAUCAAUCACAUGUGAUUAAUAUACAGCAUUCAAAAGAUUUGGCUACUCAUUAGCCGUUUUACCAAACAGUUUCCUUCAAAUGAUUUUUAUAAACAUUUUAUAUGUUUUAAACUACUUAUUACACUGUACAUCUUACUCUGUACAUUGCCUUUCAAACUUAUUUACAACUGUGUUUCAAACAAAUGUUUCUUUAUACUCAAAACUGUUUUAUCAUACUUAUGCCUUCAAAUUGUUUUAUAGAUUGACAUCAAGUCGAUCUUUUCUUAAAAUAAUAUUUAUGUUUCAAAUGUCUUACAAAACUUAUUUAUGCUUUUAUAUUAUAAAUUGCAUGCCUCUAUAUGUAUAGUUAUAUAAGAAAUGUUUAAAAGACUUAGGAAGGCUAUCCACCCUAUUUCCUUUUCGCGCCUUGAGAUGUGGUCUGGUGGGAUAUCGGAUACUCGUCCGAAGGUCGUUUAAAUAUUAGUUAUAUAUCAUGUGUACAUAUAAAGUCAUAAAAGGUCCUUCCAGUUCAUCCUAUGCCCUUGGGUAGCAAGGGUAUACAUCCACGUCCAUACGUACCACUUAGAUUACUAGUAAGCUACCAUAUGGAUAGUUCAGGAAGAUACUAGACCCAUUACAAGAACGCGAUAUCAUACAAUGAGUCAGUUCAUUCAUGAGUCAAUACUUUCUAGAACAGUACUGUACAUUACAUAUACAACUAUACUAGGACGAGAACAUAUACAACUAUACUAGAAAGUUUACAUUACUAUCCUUUCUAGAUAGAGAGAAUACACAUUGCAGCUAGCACACAUAGAACAUUACAGUUCAUUACAUUACUAUACUUGCUAGAACAGUUCAUUACAUUACUAUACUUGCUAGAACAGUUCAUUACAUUACAGCUAGAACAGUACAUUACAUUACAUAUACGAGAAUACGUUAAUUACUGUGAUUUAAAUCGGAGCAUGACUUAAAACCUCAUGACUUGAGUUGCGGCCAGAGUCUCUUGAAGGGGGAGCGUUGAGUUUGCGUAUAGAUCUAUGCUGGAUUGACAAUCCUACACCUUGCUGCUAGCUACAGCCGGACCUGCAGGUCUGCGGGUGCCAAACGUCAUUCCGUUAUUACGACCAUUCGUAUGUCGUUGUUACAGUCGAUAGUAUGGAGCAAUUUAUCACAGAAUGCCUUAGCCUAAAAUCCGGUUUAAGGUAGUUAGUACGGUAGUAAUCCUUUUAGAGCUACGUUGUAGUACUACGUUAAUUUUUCCAUUACAUAUUUUUAGUGAUAACCUCACUUAAACAUAAAUGUACAAACUAUAUUUUUGUAAAAUACAUAUUCUUACAAGAGACACACACACAUAGAACAGAUAGGUCUUGGUAGAAGACACCUUCACAUACUGGGAGGAAUCAUAGGGAUUCUAGAGUUUUCCAAACACUUACAAAUACUUACAGUUCAUAUACACUUACAAAUUCUUACAAUACAUAGACUUACAAAUUCUUACAUACAAAUUAAGACACUAAAUACUUAUGAUCUCACCAGCUUUAAAGCUGAUACUCGCUUUCAAAAUUACUUGUAUCCUCAGGUCGUCAUAGAAAGGAAGAUGGAGCUUAUUCAAGACUUAUCUUUCAUUUUGAUUUAUGCUUUAGUGUUUAUCAAAAUUUGACAGAAUACAAUUGUAUAAUAAUUAUUUUAUUAAUGCAAUGGAUGAUGUUGUUGCUUGUUUACUACUUUACAUUGUUGUUGAUAUUAUACAUGACGUCCUCCGCCCCAGAACGUUUCCGCCGUUCUUGGUUUUGGGGUGUGACAAAAACCUAUAUCCUCUUCCGCGAAUAGAUGACCUUUUCGAUCAACUCCAGGGAGCCAGUUACUUCUCUAAGAUAGACCUUCGGUCAGGGUACCAUCAGCUACGAGUUCAUGAAAGUGAUGUGUCCAAAACAGCUUUCAGGACUAGAUAUGGACACUACGAGUUCGUAGUGAUGCCCUUUGGUUUCAUCAACGCACCGGCAGUGUUCAUGGACCUAAUGAACCGGGUGUGUCGUCCUUAUCUGGAUAAGUUUGUCAUUGUUUUCAUUGAUGACAUACUCGUCUACUGCAGAAGUGAAGAAGACCACAAACAACACUUGAGGUUGGUGUUGGAAACUCUUCGAUCCGAGAAGUUAUACGCAAAGUUUUCCAAAUGCGAGUUCUGGAUACGGAAGGUAACUUUCCUCGGUCACGUGGUAAGUGAGGAGGGUAUUCAUGUCGAUCCUUCCAAGAUUAAGGCGAUAGAGAAUUGGUCAGCACCAAAGAUACCCACAGAAAUCCGGCAAUUCUUGGGUCUAGCUGGCUACUAUCGGAGAUUCAUUCAAAAUUUUUCUAGAAUCGCCAAACCUUUAACCACUCUAAAACAGAAAGGGGUACCCUUCUGUUGGAGUGAUAAACAAGAAACCACAUUCCAAACACUGAAGAAAGCUUUGUGCAGCGCGCUUGUUCUGUCCCUACCCGAAGGGACAGAGGACUUUGUUUUCUAUUGCGAUGCGUCUACUCAAGGCUUAGGCUGUGUGCUUAUGCAAAGAGGAAAAGUAAUUGCUUAUGCCUCUAGACAGCUAAAAGCACACGAGGUCAACUAUACCACACACGAAUUGGAGCUAGGAGCCGUAGUCUUUGCAUUGAAGAUUUGGAGGCAUUAUCUCUACGGAACCAAGUGCACGAUCUUCACUGACCACAAGAGCCUGCAACACAUCUUUAACCAAAAAGACUUGAACAUGAGACAACGGUGAUGGGUAGAAUUACUCGGUGAUUACGAGUGUGAAAUCCGUUACCAUCCCGUCAAGGCUAAUGUGAUAGCAGAUGCCCUUAGCCAAAAGGAGAGUACAAGCGACAAGGUGAAGAGCCAGUCGAUGACCAUCCAUUCCAACCAACCCAUGAAAAUCCGAGAAGCUUAGUUAGAAUCCCUCAAACCCGAGAACAUGUAAACUGAAGCCUUGAGAGGAAUGGAAAAGAAACUUUAGCUCAGAGGUGACGGAGUUCACUGCUACAUGGACCGGAUCUAGAUUCCCAAGUUCGGAGGAUUCAGAGGAAUAGUCAUGGAGGACGCACACAGAACCAAAUACUCUGUUCACCCGGGCUCUGACAAGAUGUACUUAGAUCUCAAGAAACAAUUUUGGUGGCCAAACAUGAAGGCUAAGAGAGCUACGUUUGUGGGCAAGUGUCUGACUUGCGCCAAGGUAAAAGUUGAGCACCAAAAACACUCGGGUUUGCUCCAGCAACCCGAGAUACCUGAAUGGAAAUGGGAGAUGAUCACCAUGGAUUUCAUCACCAAACUACCCAAGUGCUUGAGUGGGUAUGAUACCAUUUGGUUGAUUGUCGAUCGUUUGACAAAGUCAGCUCACUUCGUUCCAAUCAAAGAAUCAUACAAGAUGGAAAGACUCGCGCGGAUUUAUAUCCAAGAGGUAGUCCGACUGCACGGUGUACCUGCGUCCAUUAUCUUUGAUCGAGAUAGCAGGUUUACCUCCCAAUUUUGGCAGUCUCUCCAGAAAUCCCUUGGAACCAAACUAGAUAUGAGCACAGCGUAUCAUCCUCAGACCGAUGGACAAAGUGAGAGAACAAUCCAAACUCUGGAAGACAUGCUUAGAGCAUGUGUCAUUGACUUUCGAAAGUCAUGGGACGCACAUCUACCUUUGAUCGAAUUUUCGUACAACAACAGUUACCACACCAGCAUUAGGGCUGCCCCGUUCGAAGCCCUAUACGGUCGCAAGUGCAGAUCCCCUCUGUGCUAGGCUGAGGUGGGAGAUACACAGUUAGCCAAGAGUCGAGUCCCCGACAGUGCUCUCACUGGUCCUGAAAUCAUCCAUGAAACCACCGAGCAGAUCAUCCAAAUCCGAGAACGACUGAAGGCCUCACACGAUCGCCAGAAGAAUUACGCUGAUAAUCGUCGGAAACCACUGGAAUUCCAGGUAGGAGACCGUGUCCUAUUGGAGGUCUCGCCCUAGAAAGGCACUGCACGCUUUGGUAAACGUGGGAAACUUAAUCCGAGGUACAUUGGACCUUUCGAGAUCCUUGCCAGGGUCGGUCCGGUAGCCUAUAAGCUUCGCUUACCUCACAAACUCAGUAACAUCCAUCCCGUCUUCCAUGUUUCAAAUCUCAAGAAGUGCCUAUCCGAUGAAACCUUAGUGAUUCCGUUAGACGAGAUUGAGAUCGAUGAAAACCUCAACUUUGUGGAGGAACCGAUCGAAAUCAUGGAUCGAGAAGUCAAACGUAUGAAACAAGGUCGCAUCCCGUUAGUGAAGGUUCGCUGGAAUGCCAAGCGGGGUCCGGAGUUCACUUGGGAGCGAGAAGACUCGAUGAAAUAGAAGUAUCCAUGAGUCUUUCUAGAUCCAUGAUUUGUAUUAGUCUUGUAGCUUGUCGUGAAUUUUGGGACGAAAUUCCCUCUAAUGGGGGGAUAAUGUAACAACUCGAAAUUUUGUAUCACUUCUUGUAACGCAACUUGUAAUCCAAUUUGAUCAACCAAACGUCGUUUCCAAAUUUCGUUUCCGAUUUCGCCAUUUUAUUAAGUCAUUAACUUAUAUUGAUUUAAAAUGACUUAAUGGGUAUCUUAAUGCCAUUAGAAAUCAUUCUAACACCCCAUUAUACUUAUCGGGAUAAUUCUAGAAUCGAUGAUAUCGGGUUACGGCAACUUAGUCGGGUGCGACCAAAAGCCCCGCCUAACGCUGGUAUUGGGUAGAAUUCCGUCAUGUCCAAUUCCCUAUAUAAAUGAUUCAAAACUUACAUUUGAAGCUUUUGUCCAUUUCUUCCAUAAACACUUCCAACCUCUCUCCUCAUCCAAAAUCAAAGGUCCAAAUCUCAAGUUUAAGGCUUCAAAUCUUUGAGGUAACUUCCCUAGCAUGCUAUACAACCUCUUUAGCCUUCAAAUUUGAGCAUAAUCUAUGUUUUAGGACCUAGAACAUGUGUUUACGGCCAAGGAUCAAGCUUGGGCCGUAAACACCUAAUAAUGAGGGUUUUUGAGCCAUUUAACCCUUCCAAAUCAUAUUUGCGACUUAGAUAAGACCUUAAGGCUUGCAAAUUGAGAAUUAAAACAAUUAAA